rnacentral:rRNA from 1 species
UACGAAGGGGGCUAGCGUUGCUCGGAAUCACUGGGCGUAAAGGGUGCGUAGGCGGGUUUUUAAGUCAGGGGUGAAAUCCUGGAGCUCAACUCCAGAACUGCCUUUGAUACUGAAGAUCUUGAGUCCGGGAGAGGUGAGUGGAACUGCGAGUGUAGAGGUGAAAUUCGUAGAUAUUCGCAAGAACACCAGUGGCGGAGGCGGCUCACUGGCCCGAUACUGACGCUGAGGCACGAAAGCGUGGGGAGCAAACAGG